ACAGAGGUCCCGAGCGUUGUUCGGAUUCACUGGGCGUAAAGGGUGCGUAGGUGGCAGGGUAAGUCCGGUGUGAAAGCUCCGAGCCCAACUCGGAAAAGUCAUCGGAAACUACCAUGCUCGAGGGUUGGAGAGGGGACUGGAAUUCUCGGUGUAGCAGUGAAAUGCGUAGAUAUCGAGAGGAACACCAGUGGCGAAGGCGAGUCCCUGGACAACUCCUGACACUGAGGCACGAAAGCUAGGGGAGCAAACAGG
rnacentral:rRNA from 1 species